CCUACGGGUGGCAGCAGUGGGGCAUAUUGCACAAUGGGCGAAAGCCUGAUGCAGCAACGCCGCGUGAGCGAUGAAGGCCUUCGGGUCGUAAAGCUCUGUCCUCAAGGAAGAUAGUGACGGUACUUAAGGAGGAAGCCUCGGCUAACUACGUGACAGCAGCCGCGGUAAUACGCAGGGGGCGAGCGUUAUCGGGAAUUACUGGGGGAAGAGGGUCCGUCGGUGGUUUCUUAAGUCAGAGGGAAAGGGCUACUGCUAAACCGUAGUAAGCCUUUGAAACUGGGGAACUUGAGUGCAGGAGAGGAGAGUGGAAUUCCUAGUGUAGCGGUGAAAUGCGUAGAUAUUAGGAGGAACACCAGUGGCGAAGGCGGCUCUCUGGACUGUAACUGACACUGAGGCACGAAAGCGUGGGGAGCAAACAGGAUUAGAUACCCCUGUAGUC
rnacentral:rRNA from 1 species